AUUCAAUAAAAGUUGUGUGGAAUGUGUGUUACAAUUAGGGAUGAUUUGUAAAUUUUUGACGGUUUCGCAAGCAACAUUCUAGGAAAAAUUAAGAUUUUGAUAAUAUAACGAUAUUUUAGUUUGUAAGUAUAGCAAAAAAUGUAUUAGUUCUACGAUGAUGUUCAUUCUUAUUUUUUAUUUUAUAUACUGUAACAAAAAAUUCUACCAGAAUCUUGCUUCAAUAUGUAAGUGUAGCACCUUUUCUGAAAGAAAGUAUUAUCUACAUAGUAUUUUAAGGAAGUUAUUUUUUGAUCUAACAAGCGGCUUAGUUUUUCAUAAUAUCUGUGAAACCCCCCUGGAUAAAACGUGAGAAAAACAGGAAAUAUGAAAAUAAUGCUUUUAUUAUUUUAAAUUUUGUUUUUUGCUGUUAUUUAGUUAAAAAUAUUCGUAAAGACUUGAAAUUGGGUCAAAAAACUUAUACUUGCCUUUUCUAAAAAGUGUUAUAUUCUCAAAACAUUGUUGAACAUUUUUGAACUAUUUAUGGACAUUUUAAUUUUGCACGUAAUUUUUAUGCGGUAUAUACUCUGUGUAUAAUCAAAAAAUCUGAGUUUAAUGAAGUAUUUUUUUAUAUAACAGAAUAUUAAUAUCAAAUUUUGAAGAAAAUCUUUGAGUAAAGAUUGAGGUUUGAACAAAUCUUGUUUUUAGUAUAUACAAAUUCGUCAUGUUUUGAACAUUUGUAUAUUGCCGAUUUAAGAACGAUGGUGAAGUCAGAAUUGAGUAGACUGACAUAAUUUCGAAAUUAUAGGUCUUUGAAGUUCUGAUAUUACGUGAACAUUAUAUGUGUUAUGUUAUGUAACUCAAUAUUGUAAACUUUAUAGUAUGUAGAUGUAUCGUAGUAUAGUGGUGGUACGUACCUGUUGUCAUCCCAGACAUCUCAAGUUCAAACCCGAGUUCCGGAAACAUUUUUUUGCAAAACCACGUCGACGUCGGGUAUGUGACAGG